ACGGGAGGCAGCAGUGAGGAAUAUUGGUCAAUGGGCGGAAGCCUGAACCAGCCAAGUCGCGUGAAGGAAGACGGUAUUAUGUAUUGUAAACUUCUUUAGACGUAGAGAAAUAAGCGGGACGCGUCCCGCGAUGCUAGUAUACGUAGAAUAAGGAUCGGCUAACUCCGUGCCAGCAGCCGCGGUAAUACGGAGGAUCCGAGCGUUAUCCGGAUUUAUUGGGUUUAAAGGGUGCGCAGGCGGCAUGCUAAGUCAGCGGUUAAAUAGCGAGGCUCAACCUCGUCCCGCCGUUGAUACUGGCAAGCUUGAUUGCGGUCGAGGUUGGCGGAAUUCGCCGUGUAGCGGUGAAAUGCAUAGAUAUGGCGAAGAACUCCGAUUGCGUAGGCAGCUGACCAGGCCGUAAAUGACGCUCAUGCACGAAAGUGCGGGGAUCGAACAGGAUUAGAUACCCUGGUA
rnacentral:rRNA from 1 species